CGACUCUCGGCAACGGAUAUCUCGGCUCUCGCAUCGAUGAAGAACGUAGCGAAAUGCGAUACUUGGUGUGAAUUGCAGAAUCCCGUGAACCAUCGAGUCUUUGAACGCAAGUUGCGCCCGAAGCCGUCAGGCAGAGGGCACGCCUGCCUGGGUGUCACG
rnacentral:rRNA from 1 species